rnacentral:lncRNA from 1 species
UUUCCCUUACCAUGCAGAGUCUUUGGAAUUGAAAGUCGUUUGGUUUUAAUUAAGAUGUAUAUUUUAUUAAUAUAACCUAUUGUAUUAUCAGUGAGACAGCUGGGACUGCACCUUUUUCUAUAUAUGGAGUCUGGCCCAUAUAUAUAUUCAUAAAGCGCUGGGCCCGAUUUUAAGGACAUUCUGUUGUGCGGAGUCUGGCCCAUAUAUAUAUUCAUAAAGCGCUGGGCCCAAUUUUAAGGACAUUCUGUUGUGCGGAGUCUGGCCCAAAUAUACUUAUAAAUCGCUAGGCCCGAUUUUGAAGACAUUUCAGUAAUUUCAUGCCAAAGUUAUUAUAAAACUUCAAAAUCUCAUUGCAAACUCUUUGCCACCUGUGCCAGUAUAAAGAAAAUGAAAAAAUAUUAGAAAAAAGAGAUGGUAUUGCUUGUCCUAUUCAGAGGAGUUGUGACAUGGUGAAAUUAGGAUAAUAAUUAGGAGUCAAAUCUUUGAAGGUAUGUUUGGUCCGAUAUAAAAUAUAUAAUAGAGAAGAAAAGUGAAAUAAAAAAAAUAAAUAAAUAAAUAAAUAUUUAAUGUUAAUAAUUUUAUUUUUAUAUUACUUCUUAUUCUUUUCACUUAUUUAGGUCUUUAUAUAUAAAUAUUAAAUAAUUUAAAAAUAUAUAAUUUUUUAAUAAUUUUAAUUAUAUGUAUUUUCAUAGUAAAGUCAAAUAUGAUAAAGUUAUUUUUUUGAUAUUUUUUUUGAACCAAUGUUAAAGAUUUCAAUUUAUCAUGCAUUUUCUAAAAAUUUUAAUUUAAACUCUUAUCUUUUACCCCCACAAAAUAAAACAAACACAUGAAUGAAUUGGUAUUUUCUCCAUCAUAAUUAUUGUGAAGAGACAUCCACAAUAAUUAGUCUCACACAGUUUAUUUGUGAAAAUGUAUGUAUAGCCAAAAACGAACCACACUUAAAAUCAAGUCAAGUUCUAAUUGUUCAAGUUGACUCUGUAGUAAUAAGAUCAUCUAAGCCUUAUUUGGCUACUCUGGGAGCAGCUCUGUUCAUGGACAUUAUGGGGAAAUCAUUUACGAAGGAGAUACAUAAGUUACAUUUAUAUAUGAAAAAUCAAGAUCUGGUGAUAUAACGUAGAUUAAAAAUAAGCUUUUUAUUGCAAUUGUGACUCAAAUAAUUUCUAAAGCACCUAUUCUUAAAAUUAAGAGUCUAGUCGUACUAUUUAAAAACAGUUUUUUGUUUUUAAAAACAAAAAACCAUUUUUAAAAUUUUACAACAUUAUUUGGUCAUUGUUCUUUGAAAACAUUUUUUUAAAACAAAGUAAAAUAGAGAAUAAUUUUUAAAGUACAAGUAAAAAUUGUUUUCACCAUUUUUAAAAACAAAAAGAAAAUAUGGACCUAUUUGAUCAUGUUUUUUGAAAGUUGCUUUUAAAAACUAUUAUUUGUUCUUUAACUAAAAAACAAAUUUUUAAAAAAGGUUUUAGAAAAUAUUGCCAAACAGGUCAUAAUAUUUAGCCUCCUUCCCUAUCAUGCAUGAUGGAGUAAAUGACAUUAUGGCAGCUUAUAAUAUAAUACUAGUAGUAUGCUGUAUAUAAUACUUAUAGAACAAUAACAAAGAAAAACACAGUGAUCAAGAGAGAAAAAGUGAAAUAUUACAUAAACUAUUCUAAAAAAGCAGGGAAAUUACAUAACCUCCUUUCUUCUUCUUCCAUGGCAGCCUGCUAUAGCAGCACCAUGGAUACACACCACUUGAAGAUCACGCAAAAAGUCAAAAUGAAAUAUAACAUAUAUAUGCGUCCAUAAUCAACAUUUAGUACUAGGAAAAGGAGGUACAUACUAUUUUUGUAGCAAAACACUGCGCAUAUAUGCAUAUUACCAAGGUGGAGGCGGGCGCCAUGGCCGAGGCUGCCAAUAAGGGUCUAAGAACGGCGGCGGAGGAUGACCGGGUGGUCCGGGAGGUGGAGCAAAAGGGGGAGGUGGGGGUGGAGGUGGACAACCUGGCCAGUAAGGAGGCGGAGGAGGAGGAGGAGCAAAGAAAUCAGGAUGUGGAUGGUGAGGCGGUGGUGGUGGGGGGUGAAAGUGUGGUGGCGGUGGCGGUGGUGCAUACGGACCCGGAAGUGGUGGUGCGCAAGGAGGUGGAUGUCUAUGAAAGGGCAUUCUUUUUGAUACUUAGCGUUGAAGGUAAAAGAGGAAAUUAAUGUAUGGCAAGUGCAGGGGGUGGACUUAUAUACCGCUACUAUAGACUAUAGAGACCAUAAGGUGGAAAAAAAGGAAGGGUCUAGACAAAAUUGGAGGGCUGGUAGUUGAAAGACUAGUAGUUUAAAAAAAUGGUUCAGAU